rnacentral:lncRNA from 1 species
UUAUACCUUAAUCCUUGAUUACUGAAGAAAAUGAUAUAGAGUGGCUUCAAUUCUUUCCCCUUCCACAGUAAAAACCCUCAAUUUCUUAACAAUUUUCUCUAUGUUCUCUUUCUCACCAAACUCUCUAUAUUUCUCUGUUAUCUAGCCUUAGGAAAAAACAUGCGUAAUAUAAACUGACUCCCUCUCCCCCACGAACGUCAGG